rnacentral:rRNA from 1 species
GACGAACGCUGGCGGCGUGCCUAAUACAUGCAAGUCGAACGAGAGCGACCGGUGCUUGCACUGGUCAAUCUAGUGGCGAACGGGUGAGUAACACGUGGGUAACCUGCCCAUCAGAGGGGGAUAACAUCCGGAAACGGAUGCUAAAACCGCAUAGGUCUUCGAACCGCAUGGUUUGAAGAGGAAAAGAGGCGUAAGCUUCUGCUGAUGGAUGGACCCGCGGUGCAUUAGCUAGUUGGUGAGGUAACGGCUCACCAAGGCCGUGAUGCAUAGCCGACCUGAGAGGGUGAUCGGCCACAUUGGGACUGAGACACGGCCCAAACUCCUACGGGAGGCAGCAGUAGGGAAUCUUCCGCAGUGGACGCAAGUCUGACGGAGCAACGCCGCGUGAGUGAAGAAGGUUUUCGGAUCGUAAAACUCUGUUGUUAGAGAAGAACAAGUGCUAGAGUAACUGUUAGCGCCUUGACGGUAUCUAACCAGAAAGCCACGGCUAACUACGU